UCAAGAAGGGGGGAUGGUAAAGGGGGAGCAGGAAGGGUCUUACUUCAUUUUGUAACAGUGAAAAUCUGGAUUUGGGAUCCCUGAGACUGGCUGAGAUUUAAAGCUGAUUCUCCUGCCUCGGAGCUCUUGGGAAAGUCAUGAAGGUGGAGUCAACAUCUAACAUCAGCUGGAGACUCUGAGUCGUGUUGAACUUCUCUUCCUCUUGGGACUCCUUCUUGGCAUUUCCCCGGAGGGAGCUUCAAGCCUGGGACCUCAAGAGCCUGAAUACAUAAGAAGGAGGAGAGCAUGGGUCAGACCCUGAGAAAAACCAACAAUUUGAGGAGCAGAAGAAGAAUCUUCAAAAGGAGAAGAGAAGGAGAAAUGGGAGGAAAACUAGGAAUGCUUCCUGAAGCAUCCCUGAAGUGAAGGAAGUGAGUGCUUAGAAGCACUGAAUGUCAUCAGAUCCCAAAUCAACUGAUUUUUGUUUCGAUGGGUGAUGAAAAAGGAAACAACUUUUUGGAAACUCAGUAUCUUAAAACUGGGAGCUGGGGGAAGAGCAUUUGGGUGAGGGAAUACAUAAGCCAUUCUCCAGUGGAAGCCAAGGCAAGUUGUUUAUUAAUGCCAACUGCAAAAUACAUACAGGGAUGAGAAAUGAGUGAUGAGGAUUGCAACUAGAUCUGACUUUGAGCUCCUCAAGGUCAAGGCUUGUGUCUUAUUCACCCACCUAUUUGCAAUACCUGGCUUAGCUCCUGGCAUUCAUUCAUUCUUGCCACAAUCUCUGUCACAUAUUUAGGUAUCAAGAACAUAGUAGGCAUUCAGUUGGAC
ensembl:lncRNA